GACGAACGCUGGCGGCGUGCUUAACACAUGCAAGUCGAACGGAAAGGCCCUGCUUUUGUGGGGUGCCCGAGUGGCGAACGGGUGAGUAACACGUGAGUAACCUGCCCUCGACUUUGGGAUAACUUCAGGAAACUGGGGCUAAUACCGGACAGGAGCUCCUGCUGCAUGGUGGGGGUUGGAAAGUUUCGGCGGUUGGGGAUGGACUCGCGGCUUAUCAGCUUGUUGGUGGGGUAGUGGCUUACCAAGGCUUUGACGGGUAGCCGGCCUGAGAGGGUGACCGGCCACAUUAGGACUGAGGUACGGCCCAGACUCCUACGGGAGACAACAGUGGGAAAUAUUGCACAAUGGGCGGAAGCCUGAUGCGGCGACGCCGCGUGCGGGAUGACGGCCUUCGGGUUGUAAACCGCUUUCGCCUGUGACGAAGCGUGAGUGACGGUAAUGGGUAAAGAAGCACCGGCUAACUACGUG
rnacentral:rRNA from 1 species